rnacentral:lncRNA from 1 species
CGUGUUCGUGUCCUAUAUUUGUUGUGAACAAACACCACCUUUUAUUUCUGCUUAAGCAGAUGCAGAGGUCAAAAUUUUCUGCUCCUCUAAAGCUCUGGGAUCUCUCAAAAACAGCAUGCCAUGCAUUUAUAAAAAUAUAUCCUGUAAAGUGCAGACCUUCCACGUUCAGCUGGCGACAGCUCAUCCCAGACAGGACUGGCAAUGCAGGGAUCCAGAAAAUGGCAGCAAUACAGAGAUCCAAAGUCCACAUCAUCUUUACUAGAGAAGCUCCUGGGGCAAUUGACAAAAGAGAGUUAGCUGCUACGGUAGCAUUUAGCUGCAGUACGCAUCCAUUGCCAUUACUUCUGUCUGCUGAGAUAACCUGGACACUCUCUUUUAAUUCCUUAUUAUUGGUCUGUGAAUCCAGAAUGGAUCCAAAACACACUGAUAUACAAGC